rnacentral:rRNA from 1 species
UACAGGGGGGGCAAGCGUUGUUCGGAAUUACUGGGCGUAAAGGGCCAGUAGGCGGCCAACUAAGUCCGACGUGAAAUCCCCAGGCUUAACUUGGGAACUGCGUCGGAUACUGGUUGGCUUGAAUCCGGGAGAGGGAUGCGGAAUUCCAGGUGUAGCGGUGAAAUGCGUAGAUAUCUGGAGGAACACCGGUGGCGAAGGCGGCAUCCUGGACCGGCAUUGACGCUGAGUGAGCGAAAGCCAGGGGAGCAAACGGG